AUUGAACGCUGGCGGCAUGCCUUACACAUGCAAGUCGAACGGCAGCACGGGUGCUUGCACCUGGUGGCGAGUGGCGAACGGGUGAGUAAUACAUCGGAACCUGUCCUGUCGUGUGGGAUAGCCCGGCGAAAGCCGGAUUAAUACCGCAUACGAACAACGGAUGAAAGCGGGGGCCCUUCAGCUCCCGCGCUUUCGGGUUUGCCGAUGGCGGAUUAGGUAGUUGGUGGGGUAAAGGCCUACCAAGGCGACGAUCAGUAGCUGGUCUGAGAGGAUGACCAGCCACACUGGGACUGAGACACGGCCCAGACUCCUACGGGAGGCAGCAGUGGGGAAUUUUGGACAAUGGGCGAAAGCCUGAUCCAGCCAUGCCGCGUGUGUGAAGAAGGCCUUCGGGUUGUAAAGCACUUUUGUCCGGAAAGAAAACCUGGGCGCUAAUACAGUCGGGGGCUGACGGUACCGGAAGAAUAAGCACCGGCUAACUACGUG
rnacentral:rRNA from 1 species